rnacentral:snoRNA from 1 species
AGCCUCAUUCUAGAUGCAAAUGGGAACUGUUGUGCAUGGUGUCCAGAUAUUACUGAUGUGGCCACACUGAGACAUAGGUUUUGUUUCCAUCACAGUAAGUUUAUUGCAGUGGUGACAAGGAGACCUGUAACAUGU